AGUGAACACUGGCGGUAGGCCUAACACAUGCAAGUCGAACGGCAGCACAGUAAGAGCUUGCUCUUACGGGUGGCGAGUGGCGGACGGGUGAGGAAUACAUCGGAAUCUACUUUUUCGUGGGGGAUAACGUAGGGAAACUUACGCUAAUACCGCAUACGACCUACGGGUGAAAGCAGGGGAUCUUCGGACCUUGCGCGAUUGAAUGAGCCGAUGUCGGAUUAGCUAGUUGGCGGGGUAAAGGCCCACCAAGGCGACGAUCCGUAGCUGGUCUGAGAGGAUGAUCAGCCACACUGGAACUGAGACACGGUCCAGACUCCUACGGGAGGCAGCAGUGGGGAAUAUUGGACAAUGGGCGCAAGCCUGAUCCAGCCAUACCGCGUGGGUGAAGAAGGCCUUCGGGUUGUAAAGCCCUUUUGUUGGGAAAGAAAAGCAGCAGGUUAAUACCCCACUGUUCUGACGGUACCCAAAGAAUAAGCACCGGCUAACUUCGUG
rnacentral:rRNA from 1 species